rnacentral:ncRNA from 1 species
GGGUGGCAGUGAACCCCAUCCGGCAACUAUUGCUCCAGCCGGAAGCGCUUGGGGCGGCUACUGGCGGCAACGCUGGUGGUCGAAGCCCCUGGGAAAAGGCUCGGAAAGCGGGUCAGCGAGCAAGCAGGCCGUAAUGCGA